rnacentral:rRNA from 1 species
UGGGGAAUCUUGGACAAUGGGGGCAACCCUGAUCCAGCCAUGCCGCGUGAGUGAUGAAGGCCUUAGGGUCGUAAAGCUCUUUCGCCUGUGAAGAUAAUGACGGUAGCAGGUAAAGAAACCCCGGCUAACUCCGUGCCAGCAGCCGCGGUAAUACGUAGGGUGCAAGCGUUGUCCGGAAUUAUUGGGCGUAAAGCGCACGUAGGCGGACCAGAAAGUUGGGGUGAAAUCCCGGGGCUCAACCCCGGAACUGCCUCCAAAACUAUUGGUCUAGAGUUCGAGAGAGGUGAGUGGAAUUCCAAGUGUAGAGGUGAAAUUCGUAGAUAUUUGGAGGAACACCAGUGGCGAAGGCGGCUCACUGGCUCGAUACUGACGCUGAGGUGCGAAAGUGUGGGGAGCAAACAGGAUUAGAUACCCUGGUAGUCCACACCGUAAAACGAUGAAUGCCAGUCGUCGGGUAGCAUGCUAUUCGGUGACACACCUAACGGAUUAAGCAUUCCGCCUGGGGAGUACGGUCGCAAGAUUAAAAC